GCUGACUCCACGGGAAAAGGAGAAAGCGCAGGAGGAAGGCGUGGCCUUCUCGGUGAGUCAAAACUAGAAUAAUGAGUGGACGGGCUCGUGUGAAAGCCAGAGGACAAUGCUUUCCUGGAAGAGAAACAUAUGGACAAAGUGAUUUUGCAAAACCAGGUGGUUCGGGAGACACUGCUUCUUACAGUGUGCCAGAAGCCAG